rnacentral:rRNA from 1 species
UACGUAGGGGGCAAGCGUUGUCCGGAUUUAUUGGGCGUAAAGAGCGUGUAGGCGGCCAGGUAGGUCUGCUGUGAAAACUCGAGGCUCAACCUCGAGACGCCGGUGGAAACCGUAAGGCUAGAGUCCGGAAGAGGAGAGUGGAAUUCCUGGUGUAGCGGUGAAAUGCGCAGAUAUCAGGAAGAACACCCGUGGCGAAGGCGGCUCUCUGGGACGGUACUGACGCUGAGACGCGAAAGCGUGGGGAGCGAACAGG